AUGCCCUUAGAGUUUGAUCCUGGCUCAGGAUGAACGCUAGCUACAGGCUUAACACAUGCAAGUCGAGGGGCAGCAUGACGAUAGCUUGCUAUUGUUGAUGGCGACCGGCGCACGGGUGAGUAACGCGUAUCCAACCUGCCCUUGUCCAUCGGAUAACCCGUCGAAAGGCGGCCUAACACGAUAUGCAGUUCUCCGCAGGCAUCUAACGAGAACGAAAUGUGAAGGAGAAGGAUGGGGAUGCGUCUGAUUAGCUUGUUGGCGGGGUAACGGCCCACCAAGGCGACGAUCAGUAGGGGUUCUGAGAGGAAGGUCCCCCACAUUGGAACUGAGACACGGUCCAAACUCCUACGGGAGGCAGCAGUGAGGAAUAUUGGUCAAUGGGCGAGAGCCUGAACCAGCCAAGUAGCGUGCAGGAUGACGGCCCUAUGGGUUGUAAACUGCUUUUAUGCGGGGAUAAAGUGAGCCACGUGUGGCUUAUUGCAGGUACCGCAUGAAUAAGGACCGGCUAAUUCCGUGCCAGCAGCCGCGGUAAUACGGAAGGUCCGGGCGUUAUCCGGAUUUAUUGGGUUUAAAGGGAGCGUAGGCCGUCUGGUAAGCGUGUUGUGAAAUGUCGGGGCUCAACCUGGGCAUUGCAGCGCGAACUGUCAGACUUGAGUGCGCGGGAAGUAGGCGGAAUUCGUCGUGUAGCGGUGAAAUGCUUAGAUAUGACGAAGAACUCCGAUUGCGAAGGCAGCCUGCUGUAGCGCAACUGACGCUGAAGCUCGAAAGCGUGGGUAUCGAACAGGAUUAGAUACCCUGGUAGUCCACGCGGUAAACGAUGGAUGCUCGCUGUUUGCGUCUGACGUAAGCGGCCAAGCGAAAGCGUUAAGCAUCCCACCUGGGGAGUACGCCGGCAACGGUGAAACUCAAAGGAAUUGACGG
rnacentral:rRNA from 1 species